rnacentral:rRNA from 1 species
AGAGCGAACGCUGGCGGCAGGCCUAAAACAUGCAAGUCGAACGGACCCUUCGGGGUUAGUGGCGGACGGGUGAGUAACACGUGGGAACGUGCCUUUUGGUUCAGAACAACUCAGGGAAACUUGAGCUAAUACUGAAUAAGCCCUACGGGGGAAAGAUUUAUCGCCAUUAGAGCGGCCCGCGUUGGAUUAGCUAGUUGGUGAGGUAAAGGCUCACCAAGGCUACGAUCCAUAGCUGGUCUGAGAGGAUGAUCAGCCACACUGGGACUGAGACACGGCCCAGACUCCUACGGGAGGCAGCAGUUAGGAAUCUUGCGCAAUGGGCGAAAGCCUGACGCAGCCAUGCCGCGUGAAUGAUGAAGGUCUUAGGAUUGUAAAAUUCUUUCAGCGGGGAAGAUAAUGACUGUACCCGCAGAAGAAGCUCCGGCUAACUUCGCGCCAGCACGCCGC